GGCCAACUUCCGUCUGAAUCACCAUUAGAGGACUUUUACUUUGGAGUCUCAUGGAGAACACUAAUAUGCUAUUUUUUUAUUUUUAUGAAAGUAUAAAAUUUUAUCUCUUUGCAUACUUGAUUUUACUUUGAUCGAUAUCGGCAAGGUGAUUUUAGAGUUUGGAUUCUGACUCAAUAGUUUUAUUUGAUAAAGCUAUUGAUUUGUAUAUU
rnacentral:lncRNA from 1 species